AACAAACGGUCCAGAUCAACACGAGAUGGAUAUUUAAGCAUCGCGUUAUAAGAAACCCUAACUCUAGCUGUCAUGCCAUUGCCGGAGAAGAAGAACCAGACACUGGAUAAGGAGGCCGACCAUUGGCUGCUGCUCCACCAAAGCCACCACCGACCACCAAAAGAGGUAAAAGUUUUUCCUUCUUACUCGGAAUUCGAUUCUGAGUCUUCAUGUGGCUAUAUCGGAACAAAAAAAAUGGUAGAUGAGCUGAAAACUACGGGCAAAGCCGGAGGAGCCACCGAG
rnacentral:lncRNA from 1 species